UUCGGUUUUACGCCUUUCGACUUUCCUUGUAUUUCGUUUUUAAUAUUAUAAAAAAAUUAUUGUGUAUAAAUUUGUGUUUGUUUAGAGGGGAGAGAAGCGCACGCGUGUUUUUACAAAAUUUGAGUGCAAUUUUUUUUCUCUUUUUACUGUGUGCGAGCUCGUCAAAGUGCCAACAAGAGCAAAAAGAAAACGAAAACUGAGAAUCUAAGACAACAGUCUGAGUCUGGUGGGAAUAUCCUGGUUGAAUAAUUUGUUUGUGCGUCAUUUUGUUGUUGCUGCAGCUGCUGUCAUCAACUAUCACAGGGUGCCAUGUGGAGUCCAACACAUUGCAGUGUAACUGUGCAACGAGCGCGUGGGCUGCUCACAAAGGGAAAGAAUGGCACCAACAAUUGCUUCGUCACAAUCGCUCUGGGCAGGGAAAAGUAUCAGACUUCCGUCAAAGAAAAGGCCGAGACGAAUGUCAAUUGGAAUGAGGAAUGCGAACUAAAAAUACCCGAUCAGGGCAAUCGUGCCGAGCUAACAUUGACCUGCCUGCAUCGCAAUAAUCUGGGAAUUGAUGAGUUUCUGGGACAGGUCACGUUGCCAUUGAAGGAUAUGGAUGUGCACGAUCGUCCACGGGCACGUUGGUUAAAGCUGGAAAGCAAACCAGGCAAGGAGAAGAAGAAUAAGGAGCGUGGCGAGCUCGAAGUACGCAUAGCUUUCGUCGUCAAAUCGGGUUCCCUAACGGAUCUGAGUAAGAAAGACAAACAUAAGUCUUCUAUCGGGCAAUUGGCCAGUUCUGUGGGCGGCAGCCUGCUCUCUAUUGGACAAGGUGAGAAGCGCAAGAGCAUCAAGAAGUUGGCCGGUUCUCUCAGUUCCAAGUUGCACAUACGAAGCAAGAAGAAGCACGCUGAUGGCGAUGAUAACUCAUCGUUCAGCGGAUCCUUUGCUAGUAUCGGUACACCAAAUAGUUCGGCGAGCAUCGGUGUUCACGGUGGGAGUGGCCGACGACGCGGUCAGCGUGCUGGUGAAGCCGAUCCUGGAGUCAUUAGCGAGGAUGAGGACGAAUUUGUCUUUGACAAUUUGUCGCACAAGAGCUCGGGCAGUUCUCUGAACAUACAACGCAGCGGCUUGCAAGCUCCAACGCAAAACUUUGCGCCACGCAACCCUUCCCCACUUCUUAGCAACAAUAACAGCAGCAGCUACAACGGAAGAAGCUUCGGAAAACAAAGCGGAGGUAAGCCUACUAGCAAAUUGCAAGAGACGCUCGAUGAGGAUGAUGAUCGUCCCAUCGAUGCGGAAAUGGAGCAGCUUGAGAUAGAUUUUAGUGUACGCGGUCGCACAUUGCCGCCUCCCUCGAAGCCGCCGCGCACGCCGCACAGCGUCAAUGUCGAGCCAGAGGUAUUGCUCAGCCCGGAACGUGUGUUGGAGCAGACACCUAAGGUGGAGCUGCCCUCCUCACCCAAGCUGGAUGAAUGGGAAUCAAAGCUGUAUGGUGGGAAUGGCAAGUUUUUGGAUAUUGGCAGUACAGAUUCGCUGAAGCGCCGCUCAUGGGAAUUGGCGCGUGUGCCGCUGCCCACAAGCGAGGAUGUGAAAGAGUAUCAGCCAGAGCAUAAGGAAAAACAGCAGGAAGAAAGUGAAAAGGAGAAAGAGCCGAUUGGCAAUGCAAUUACGAAGCCGAAUCCUACCUCCUUGUCCUGCUCAUCGUCUUCGUCUAGCUCCUCAGAUAGCGAAUAUGAUGAGAAAGAAAAACAGACGGUUCCGUCUCCAAAGCCCCAACCACCAAUGACUCUCGACUUAAAGAAGAAGGAGCAGGCUCCAAGUCCAUUUGUAAAGCAGAUUUCUCUCCUGUCGCCAGUUGACGGCUCCCAGCGCAAUUUCGAUGAUUUUAAUGCCAGCUUUGCUAAAUUCGAGCAACGCAAUAGCAGCAUUUUUAGCGACGAAGAUGAUGUCCCGAACAUAACAUUGCCUCCCAAGCCCAAGCCCCGAGUAUUGAGCAAUGAACAGGAUAUGGAGGCUAAGAUAGCUGCCGAAGAGAAGGCAAAAGCCGAACAAGAGGCUAAAGCAAAGGCAAAAGCUGAGGAAGAGGCUGCCAUCGAAUUGGCUCGUCAACGUCGCAUUGAGGAGGACGCCCGCUUAGAGGCUGAGCUUCGUCUGAACGAGCAGCGUCUACGCGAGGAGGAGGCAGCCCUUCAGCAUGAGCUCGAAGAGCAGCGGCGACGUGAUGCCAAACGACGUGAGGAAGAUCAACGCAUACUCAGUUUUGCCAAGCGCUCCACCUCAAUGGAGGAGGCAACAGAGCUUCCACAACAGCGACAGCUGGUGUCCUCCGAUCAUGAGUCCAUUGAGCACAACUUUUUAACGCCCGAACAAUCGCCCAAGGAGUUUAUCAGCAAUGGGGGUGGCAGCGGCAACGGCGAACGUUGGGAAAAGCGUUUGGGAAAAUUCAAAUAUGGCAAUAAGCGAGAUAAAAACAACGAUAAUGACAGUAACUCGCCCAGCCCGAAAUCUUCGGAGCGCAUUAUAAUUGGACAUGAAAAGUCCAUCUCACAUGCGGAGCGUCGUUCGGAAAUUUCUGCACAGCUGGCCAAAAAAUAUGAAGGCAAAUCGCGAGAGGAGCUAAUGUUAAUUGCCAAUGGAAUGGAGAACGAGGCGCUUUUACAGCGACAGCGUGUCAAGGAGCUGGAGGAUUACCUCGAUAAUUUGCUGCUACGGGUCAUGGAGACGCAUCCGAAGAUUUUGCAGAAUCCCUAUUCCCGAACCACGUCAGCCAAAAGUUAUAAAAACUACAUCAAUAUGAAUGACUUUUUAAACAAAAUACAAGCUAAGUUUUACAACAACUAAGAAUCAAAUCGUAUCUUAACAAUCAACAACAACAACAAUAAGACGGGAUCCUCCGGCACGCUUUCCACCUAGACAAACAGUUACAACAGCCACAACAACAAUAAGAAUAAGAGUAACAAACAACAACAACAACGACAACAGUGCAGCAGCGGCCGCAUAUAUUGGGUAAUUGCAGUACAUCGCCAACUCGCCGUUGUCUUUAAGGAAGGAUGGAAAAGCAACAACAACAACAACACAACAGCAAACAAAACAACAAAAUGUUAAAUAUAGAACAAAAGUGAAAUAUCAAAAUGAAAAUCAAAGAACACCAAGUUGCCUUUGUCACCAGCGAAAUUCAAGUGCUUUCUUAUUUUAUUUCUAGGUUUAGCACAUAUUUAUACAACAACAAUAACAUUUAAGAAUAAGCAAGAAUUUAGCAAAAUGCAUUCAGACCCUUUCCACUCUCCAAGCCACAACACGAAAAAGAGAAACUAAAAAACCGUAAAAAGAAUCGAACAGAAGAAAACAGAAAAUUGUGCAUUGUACUGAGUGUUUGUAAAAUGAUUAACAUUUUAAUGCUGUAUUAAACUUAACUAAAUCAUUUGUAUGUAUUAUUUUAUUGCGUUACGAUAUUGAUUCUUGUGCGUUAUUUAAUUGAAAUUAUCGAAAAGUAUUUUUUGUUUUAUCUGUAAUGUCUUAUGUAAAAAUCUGUGUAAUCCUAAUCCGCCUACAAUCGAUACAUUUAUACAAUUUAGUUAAGUACAUUAUAAAUUAUUUAUAUUUUAGACGUUAAGAGUAAAUACGAACGGAGAAAACUGAAGGUAUAUUUUAUGCAUAUGUUGAUAAAAUGAUUUUACUUAUGGAUAUACAACCAAUAAAAAUAAUGAAAACAGUUUUCAAUAAUAAACAACAA